UACGGAGGAUCCAAGCGUUAUCCGGAUUCAUUGGGUUUAAAGGGUGCGUAGGCGGAAUGAUAAGUCAGUGGUGGAAUCCUUCAGCUUAACUGGAGAAUUGCCAUUGAUACUGUCAAUCUUGAGUACAUUUGAUGUGGGCGGAAUGUGUCAUGUAGCGGUGAAAUGCUUAGAUAUGACACAGAACACCGAUUGCGAAGGCAGCUCACAAAACUGUAACUGACGCUGAGGCACGAAAGUGCGGGGAUCAAACAGG
rnacentral:rRNA from 1 species